CGGGCCUGAAGUAAAGCUCCAUAAGAGGAAAAUGCAAACUGAACCUAACACCACACGCUCCAGGGGAAAGGAACCACUUGGCCAGUCGAUUUGGAUCAGAGUGGGUCAUUUGCAGUAUUUUCCCAAUUCAGGACGGGCCGUGUCCUGGGGAGGACCCGGAGCUGUGCGGCGGUGGAGACAGCUGCCACUUGGCGUGGGGCAAAGGGAAAGCCAUGGUUCUGG